AAACCUUCACACUGCGGGUAACCGCGAUAAGGGGACACCGAGUGCCAGCAUACAAUGCUGGCSUGUCCACAUGUGUAAAUAGCAUGUGAUAGCAAGGGCCGGGCAAGACCGGUGCCAGCCGCCGCGGUAACACCGGCGGCCCGAGUGGUAAUCACUAUUAUUGGGUCUAAAGGGUCCGUAGCCGGUUUAAUCAGUCUUCCGGGAAAUCUGACAGCUCAACUGUUAGGCUUCCGGGGGAUACUGUUAGACUUGGGACCGGGAGAGGUAAGAGGUACUACAGGGGUAGGAGUGAAAUCUUGUAAUCCCUGUGGGACCACCAGUGGCGAAGGCGUCUUACCAGAACGGGUCCGACGGUGAGGGACGAAAGCUGGGGGCACGAACCGGAUUAGAUACCCGGUAGUCCCAGCCGUAAACGAUGCUCGCUAGGUGUCUGGAAUGGUGCGACCGUUUCAGGUGCCGCAGGGAAGCCGUGAAGCGAGCCACCUGGGAAGUACGGCCGCAAGCUGAAACUUAAAGGAAUUGGCGGGGGAGCACUACAACGGGUGGAGCUGCGGUUUAAUUGGACUCAACGCCGGACAACUCACCGGGGGCGACAGCAAUAUGUAGGUCAAGCUAAAGACUUUACCUGAAUCGCUGAGAGGAGGUGCAUGGCCGUCGUCAGUUCGUACUGUGAAGCAUCCUGUUAAGUCAGGCAACGAGCGAGACCCGUGCCCACUGUUGCCAGCAUAUCUUCGGGAUGAUGGGUACUCUGUGGGGACCGCCGAUGCUAAAUCGGAGGAAGGUGCGGGCUACGGUAGGUCAGUAUGCCCCGAAUCUCCCGGGCGACACGCGGGCUACAAUGGUUGGGACAAUGGGCUCCUACACUGAAAAGUGACGGUAAUCUCAUAAACCCAGCCGUAGUUCGAAUUGAGGGCUGAAACCCGCCCUCAUGAAGCUGGAAUCCGUAGUAAUCGCGUUUCAAUAUA
rnacentral:rRNA from 1 species